AUUGAACGCUGGCGGCAGGCCUAACACAUGCAAGUCGAGCGGCUCGGCGGACGGGUGAGUAAUGCCUAGGACUCUGCCUGGUACUGGUGGAUAAGGUCCGGAAAGGGGCGCUAAUACCGCACACUAUCAGAUUAGCCUAGGUGGGAUUAGCUAGGUGGUGGGGUAAAGGCCGACCAUGGCGACGAUCCCUAACUGGUCUGAGAGGAUGAUCAGCCACACUGGAACUGAGACACGGUCCAGACGCCUACGGGAGGCAGCAGUGGGGAAUAUUGGACAAUGGGCGCAAGCCGGAUCCAGCCAUGCCGCGUGUGUGAAGAAGGUCUUCGGGUUGUAAAGCACUUUAAGUUGGGAGGCGUUACCAGCAGAAUAAGCACCGGCUAACUUCGUGCCAGCAGCCGCGGUAAUUC
rnacentral:rRNA from 1 species